UCCCAGAAAACCAGAUGAAUGACGGUGUGUGUUCUCGGGAACAUUAUAUUCUCUCUUAAAAGAUGCCCUGCACGAGAUGCCACAAAGGUUCCUUAAUGCUGCUUGGAGGCUGAUCUCUGCCCUCAUCCCUCCGUUCCAGAGCCACGGUCAGUGGGCAGUGCUGGGGACCACUCACUCUCCCUUCUGGUGCUCCAGCUGGACCACUGGCACCAGGUUUUUAAGGUACCUUCCCAAGUUCUGGGAGGCAGCAAGCAGGUACCUCAACAAGAACCUUGCUGGAACCUGUAUCUGGCCACCAGGAUGCUUUUGGCCUCCAGACUUUUGGGAAAGAGGACAGAGAUGAGUAGGGCACUGAGAAGAGAGACAUGCAGAUGAUGAGAGGUGGGAGAGAGAAGAUGACUCUUUUCUGGCAACUUGACUCCUUUUCCACUUGGUGUUGGUUCCUUCCUCAAAAGCAUCUCUUGAGAAGACAUAACCCUUUCCAGAUGG
rnacentral:lncRNA from 12 species